rnacentral:rRNA from 1 species
ACUGCUAUCGGAUUGAUACUAAGCCAUGCGAGUCUUUGUAGUAAUACAAGGCAGACGGCUCAGUAACACGUAGUCAACCUACCCUAUGGACAAGAAUAAUCUCGGGAAACUGGGCAUAAUUCUUGAUAGAUCAUAAUGCCUGGAAUGGUUUAUGGUUAAAAUGAUUCGUCGCCAUAGGAUGGGACUGCGGCCUAUCAGCUUGUUGGUGAGGUAAUGGCCCACCAAGGCGAUUACAGGUACGGGCUCUGAGAGGAGAAGCCCGGAGAUGGGUACUGAGACACGGACCCAGGCCCUAUGGGGCGCAGCAGGCGAGAAAACUUUGCAAUGUGCGAAAGCACGACGAGGUUAAUCCGAGUGAUUUCUGCUAAAGAAAUCUUUUGCCAGUCAUAAAACCACUGGUGAAUAAGGGGUGGGCAAGUUCUGGUGUCAGCCGCCGCGGUAAAACCAGCACCUCAAGUGGUCAGGAUGAUUAUUGGGCCUAAAGCAUCCGUAGCCGGCUUUGUAAGUUUUCGGUUAAAUCCAUGUGCUCAACGCAUGGGCUGCCGAAAAUACUGCAUGGCUAGGGAGUGGGAGAGGUAGACGGUACUCAGUAGGAAGGGGUAAAAUCCUUUGAUCUAUUGAUGACCACCUGUGGCGAAGGCGGUCUACCAGAACACGUUCGACGGUGAGGGAUGAAAGCUGGGGGAGCAAACCGGAUUAGAUACCCGGGUAGUCCCAGCUGUAAACGAUGCAGACUCGAUGAUGCAUUGGCAUAAUAGCCAGUGCAGUGUCGCAGGGAAGCCGUUAAGUCUGCCGCCUGGGAAGUACGUACGCAAGUAUGAAACUUAAAGGA